UACGAAGGGGGCUAGCGUUGUUCGGAAUUACUGGGCGUAAAGGGCGCGUAGGCGGCGUGUCAAGUCAGGCGUGAAAGCCCCGGGCUCAACCUGGGAACCGCGCUUGAGACUGGCAUGCUCGAGUUCGGGAGAGGAUGGUGGAAUUCCCGGUGUAGCGGUGAAAUGCGUAGAGAUCGGGAGGAACACCCGUGGCGAAGGCGGCCAUCUGGACCAGCACUGACGCUGAGGCACGAAAGCGUGGGGAGCAAACAGG
rnacentral:rRNA from 1 species